rnacentral:rRNA from 1 species
GACGAACGCUGGCGGCGUGCCUAAUACAUGCAAGUUGAGCGCUGAAGGUUGGUACUUGUACCAACUGGAUGAGCAGCGAACGGGUGAGUAACGCGUGGGGAAUCUGCCUUUGAGCGGGGGACAACAUUUGGAAACGAAUGCUAAUACCGCAUAAAAACUUUAAACACAAGUUUUAAGUUUGAAAGAUGCAAUUGCAUCACUCAAAGAUGAUCCCGCGUUGUAUUAGCUAGUUGGUGAGGUAAAGGCUCACCAAGGCGAUGAUACAUAGCCGACCUGAGAGGGUGAGCGGCCACAUUGAGACUGAGACACGGCCCAAACGCCUACGGGAGGCAGCAGUAGGGAAUCUUCGGCAAGGGACGAAAGUCUGACCGAGCAACGCCGCGGGAGUGAAGAAGGUUGUCGGAUCGGAAAACUCUGUUGGUAGAGAAGAACGUUGGUGAGAGUGGAAAGCUCAUCAAGUGACGGUAACUACCCAGAAAGGGACGGCUAACUACGUG